rnacentral:rRNA from 1 species
CUACGUGCCAGCAGCCGCGGUAAUACGUAGGUCCCGAGCGUUGUCCGGAUUUAUUGGGCGUAAAGCGAGCGCAGGCGGUUAGAUAAGUCUGAAGUUAAAGGCUGUGGCUUAACCAUAGUACGCUUUGGAAACUGUUUAACUUGAGUGCAAGAGGGGAGAGUGGAAUUCCAUGUGUAGCGGUGAAAUGCGUAGAUAUAUGGAGGAACACCGGUGGCGAAAGCGGCUCUCUGGCUUGUAACUGACGCUGAGGCUCGAAAGCGUGGGGAGCAAACAGGAUUAGAUCCCCUGGUAGUCCACGCCGUAAACGAUGAGUGCUAGGUGUUAGACCCUUUCCGGGGUUUAGUGCCGUAGCUAACGCAUUAAGCACUCCGCCUGGGGAGUACGACCGCAAGGUUGAAACUCAAAGGAAUUGACGGGGGCCCGCACAAGCGGUGGAGCAUGUGGUUUAAUUCGAAGCAACGCGAAGAACCUUACCAGGUCUU